GAAUCGCUAAUGUACCCCGGGGUCUGGGAUAGCCAGUUGAAAGAUUGGGUAAUACCAGAUGAGACCACGAACCGGCAUCGGUUUGUGCUCAAAGGGCAACUGCCCUGGGAUCAGGCGAUUUGGUAUCAGCUUGUUGGUGGGGUAACGGCCCACCAAGGCAUCGACGGGUAGCUGGUCUGAGAGGACGAUCAGCCACACUGGGACUGAGACACGGCCCAG
rnacentral:rRNA from 1 species